UACGUAGGGUGCAAGCGUUAAUCGGAAUUACUGGGCGUAAAGCGUGCGCAGGCGGUUGUGCAAGACAGAGGUGAAAUCCCCGGGCUUAACCUGGGAAUGGCAUUGGUGACUGCACGGCUAGAGUGUGUCAGAGGGGGGUAGAAUUCCACGUGUAGCAGUGAAAUGCGUAGAGAUGUGGAGGAAUACCGAUGGCGAAGGCAGCCCCCUGGGAUAACACUGACGCUCAUGCACGAAAGCGUGGGGAGCAAACAGG
rnacentral:rRNA from 1 species